UACGGAGGGUGCAAGCGUUAUCCGGAUUCACUGGGUUUAAAGGGUGCGUAGGUGGGCAGGUAAGUCAGUGGUGAAAUCUCCGGGCUUAACUCGGAAACUGCCAUUGAUACUAUCUUUCUUGAAUACCGUGGAGGUCAGCGGAAUAUGUCAUGUAGCGGUGAAAUGCUUAGAUAUGAUACAGAACACCAAUUGCGAAAGCAGCUUACUAUGCUAGUACUGACGCUGAGGCACGAAAGCGUGGGGAUCAAACAGG
rnacentral:rRNA from 1 species